AAAUUUCAUUUUCAUUUGCAA
rnacentral:miRNA from 1 species